UACGUAGGGUGCGAGCGUUGUCCGGAAUUAUUGGGCGUAAAGGGCUCGUAGGCGGUUUGUCGCGUCGGGAGUGAAAACCCAGGGCUUAACCCUGGGCUGGCUUUCGAUACGGGCAGACUAGAGGUAUGCAGGGGAGAACGGAAUUCCUGGUGUAGCGGUGAAAUGCGCAGAUAUCAGGAGGAACACCGGUGGCGAAGGCGGGUCUCUGGGCCGAAACUGACGCUGAGGAGCGAAAGCGUGGGGAGCAAACAGG
rnacentral:rRNA from 1 species